UGUUUCCGUGUUUUACACCACACGGUACUGUUUUCACGGUUCAUGGGGCAUAAUCACAGUGCACCAGUCCUCUCUGUCCAGCCUGGAGACAUUGUGCAAAUUCUCUGUAGAGCCUCACAAGACAUUGGUAACGAUAUGGAGCUUUACCACUUCAAACCUGGACAGGCACCCAGAGGCUUCAUUCAUGAUAGUAACUAGAAGUAUCCUUACACACCUAGUCGGUUCAGUGGCUUAUCGAAUGGACCUCUCACCACCUCUAUCACAGAGGUUGAGGUUGAAGCUGAGUAAUACUGCCAACAAAGUGAACAGCUUCCAUUCACAGUGAAAUAUGUCCGUACAAAAAUCUCUGUUAGCUUCUCUCACUUCGGUGAGUUCGUGCGAGUGCCCGGCCAAGCAUCAGAGAACUGUCUGACCUCUUUCCAUCAUAGCUGUACUGUAAGCAUUUCACAAUCAUAAAUAACUGGCAAUACUGCGGCAGUAGCCGGGCAAAGCAACACAAACUUGGGAAUGGAACUGAACUGGCUGCUGGUCUCUGAUCUCAUAUACCAUCUCCUGCCCUUGUGCACUUGGACAAGGCACACAACCCACCACAAAUGCUCUCCGCCGAGGGGCACUGCACUACGGCUCAUCCUGCGCUUCUCAACAUGUGUGUGUGUGUAUACGCUCUUAAAAAUCUAUCUAGAACCUAAACCCUUUAAAUAACACGUUUUAGUUCCAUGUAAAACCCUUUCCACAGAGUGUUCUACAUUGAACACAAAAGGGUUCUACCUGGAACCAAAAAGUGUUAUCCUAUUGGGAUAGGCGAAGAACCCUUUAGGAACCUUUUUUCUAUGAGUAUAUAGCUGGGGGUGUUGGGAAAGGCAGGAGACUAAUUUUCACUCCUUCCAAUGGCAUGGAGAAACAAUAACCCUUGCCUUUACAGUAAAGUAAAUUACAAUUUGAAGUGAUUUAAGACUUGGGGAAAAGCACUAUGGAAAUGCAAUCCAUUAUUAACGAAUCCAUAUUAUAAACAUGUCCAUUACCACUUCAAUUGAGGGGCAGCAAUUUAACAUAUCAUUAGAGCCUAAACUAAUUGAGUAUGAGAAUAUAAAAUAUCAUGCUGGUGUAGUGCAACACAAAAUAUAGUUAUUAUGAUCAUAGUGUCUAUUCAAUUUUAACAGCCUUCAGCAGGACAUACACAUUUCCAUUUUUUUGUAUCACCUUAUUAUCCAACAUAUUUGCAUGCAGUUUUGCUUCUUGUGUCUUUAAACUACAGCUGUUUCCCCAUACCACCUCAACACAGUACAACGAAGUACACCCCAAUUACUUCAGACUCGCUCAACAGUGUUA